rnacentral:lncRNA from 1 species
CUAAGAAGGGAGUUACAGUGUUGGCUUGGGUGAUUGACCCAGACUAUCAAGAUGAAAUCAGUCUACUACUCCACAAUGGAGGUAAGAAAGUGUAUGCAUGGAAUAUAGGAGAUCCAUUAAGGCAACUCUUAACAUUACCAGGCCCAGUGAUCAUGGUCAAUGGGAAACUAAAACAGGCAAUUCCAGACCCUUCAGAAAUGAAAAUUUGGGUCAUUCCACCAGGAAGAAGAAGAAGAAAACAACAACAACAACAACAACAAAACCAUGAUCUGCUGAGGUAUUUGCUGAAGGCAAAAAGAAUACAGAAUGAGUAGUAGAAGAAGGUUGUCAUCAAUAGCAGCUAUAAUCAUGUGACCAGCUUCAGGACCCAAGACUGUAAUUGUCACUCAGCUUUGAAGUAGACCUUCCUCCCACUGCUGCUCCGUUUCUGCCCAUAUAAUGAAGGCUUACCACUUUCUGUAAGCUUUGUCUGCAUGACCUCAUCCAGCUGGGAGAUCACCCUGAGAGGCCAGCAAAUGACCAAUCCCAUCAUCCCUUCUGAGGUCAGCGCCCUGGGAAGAAAGGAAUUUAUGAUGGGAAAACUUCAGGUCCCAGAGAGGGAACUUCUCUACAUGAAAAAGACUACCAAGCAGAAUUCUUUGGCGACUCUCAAAGCACCAAAUAUCAGCGCUGCUUAUGGCCAGGCUACCUGUGAGUUAUUCUGUUGUUUCUUCAUUAAAUGACAUAAAUGAGAUAACUCUAAAAUAUUUAUAAU